GCUGUAUUUAAAUAAUCCUACCUGCAUUUUGUUUUGUUUAUUCAAAUUAGAGACGAGUGAAAUGUGAAAGACGUAUUAGAUGUGUGAUAUACUCUAGACUUAAGUAAUUGUGAAUGUGCAUGAUGGGUAAAUUUUCAAGAAGACUCUACUAUUGCGUUAAAUGGGUUAAAAUGUAAGAAGGGUUAAAUGUGCAAGAUGUGUUAAAUGCAUAAGAUGUGCUAAAUGUUUUAAAUGUGUACAAAAUAUUAUAUGUAUAAGAUGUAUUAAGAUGUGUAAAUUGUGUAAAAAAAAAGUAAAACUACAACUUCGCUACAAUCAACGGAGUUGCUGAUAUGGGAAGCAGAUAGUAUCAAGUGCUCCAAUUUGUACUGAGAUGAGUCAUGCAGUGACCUAGAUGUGCCAACAGGUAGCAACAUCAGCAUCAACAGACCCUCUCCUGACGUCUUCAGCCACUACCUACCUGAUCACUGGUUUCGGAGAACACCACUUUGCUAUUCAAACCUCUUUCAAAACGUUAUUCAAACCUUUGGUUUGAAAAAAAAAAGCUGGGCAUCUAAAGGCCGGGUCGGAGGAGUUAUUCAGAUAUUCUGUGGCUAAGGUCUGUGGACAGACGGAUCAUCUGCGCCAUUUCACCACAGGAUGGCAUUUACCUUUAAUGACAUUUCUAUUGUGAUAGUAUUCACGCCCCCGCAGCGCCCACAUGGCAAAUAGAGUACUUCUCCGAAACCAAAAGCUAGGAUAUGUCGACCUGUUGGGAGUAUUCUUUCCCAAAACCAUCGCAUCCGAAUCCCGCAGUGUUUUAGUCUACCGUUGUCUAGGUAACGCUUAAAAAAAGUCAAGAGCAGAUCACUCUUAAUACACACGUCGUUCCAGGAAUUCAUUUUAUUACGGGCGUAGUUUCCCUUUAUUGUUAUAAUUUACAUAUUCUUAUCAGCUAUCUUCAGCGAUCAAAAUAUAAAAGUUUGUAUCAUAAUUUGGGUUUCUUCCGAGCCUCCUAGGUAUAUAGCGUAAAUAUAAUCUCUUUUGAUACAUUUAUAUCGAAAAUACAUUAUUUUUUCAUAUAUUUUUAAACAUUAAUACAAAUUAUUGCUUGUAUAAUCUUUUAAGUAAAUACAUUUAUAUGUAUAGUUUAUUUUAUUAUUAUUAUUAUUCACACUAUCUUCAUAAUGUAAGAUAAGUAGCAUGUAAAAAUUGGUCGUAAAGCAACAAAUGGAAUAAUUUAUUUGAACUGAAAUUUCGCACAUAGUAGUAAGGCAGGUUAGGAAUGGCUAAGUCGUAAAGCGAUUGGCUUUCGAACCGAUGGUUCCGGGUUCGAAUCCUAGUAAAGACUGGGAUUUUGAAUUUCAAGAUUUUAAGGCCCCUCUGAUUCCACCAAUCUGUAAUGGGUACCUGACAUAAGUUGGGAAAAAUCAAGGUGGUUGGUCGUUGUGCUGGCCACAUACACCCUCGUUAACUGUUGCCACAGAAAUAUAUGACUUUUACAUUAUCUGCCCCAUAGAUCGCAAGGUCUGAAAGGGGUACUUUACUUAGUAAGGCACUUUAAGCUCAGUUGAUAGAGCUCGAGGUUGUACUGGACACAUGACCUCCUCGUAGACCAUCGGCUGUAUAAACAGGUGACAUCAUUAAC